GACGAACGCUGGCGGCGUGCCUAAUACAUGCAAGUAGAACGCUGAAGGAGGAGCUUGCUUCUCUGGAUGAGUUGCGAACGGGUGAGUAACGCGUAGGUAACCUGCCUGGUAGCGGGGGAUAACUAUUGGAAACGAUAGCUAAUACCGCAUAAGAGUAGAUGUUGCAUGACAUUUACUUAAAAGGUGCAAUUGCAUCACUACCAGAUGGACCUGCGUUGUAUUAGCUAGUUGGUGAGGUAACGGCUCACCAAGGCAACGAUACAUAGCCGACCUGAGAGGGGGAUCGGCCACACUGGGACUGAGACACGGCCCAGACUCCUACGGGAGGCAGCAGUAGGGAAUCUUCGGCAAUAGACGGAAGUCUGACCGAGCAACGCCGCGUGAGUGAAGAAGGUUUUCGGAUCGUAAAGCUCUGUUGUAAGAGAAGAACGAGUGUGAGAGUGGAAAGUUCACACUGUGACGGUAUCUUACCAGAAAGGGACGGCUAACUACGUG
rnacentral:rRNA from 1 species